UCAGACUCGGCCUGCUUCCUUUUCAUUUCGUUGAGUUGGGCCUGGAGAGCUUUGUUCUGAUUGGCUUGCAUCUGGAGCCGGUCCUGCAAGGCUGAGCGUUCCUGCUCGUUGCGACCAAUUAGCUUGCUGUGGAUCUGGUUCUAGAGUGAAGGAAGUCAAAUGUGAGAGGCUCGUUCAUGGCGUUCUUCUUCGGGGAUUCCUUCCAGUGGCCGCCCCCUCCUCCUGUGCUGCUACCACGGGACAUGUGAUGCUGCAGAGAAACAGAUCGUACAGUUGCCUUCUGCCACUGCACAGGUGGGGCACAUGAAAAUGCACACACAGUUGCAGAUCAGACCUAAACAACUGUCAGGAAGAAUUUUGGACCAAUCCUCUUUACAAAAUCAGCAAUUUUCAUGGGAUGUCUGGUGUGGAUGGCUCUCGUGGUCAUGCCACAACAUCUCAAUCCUGUUGAGGUCAGGAC